rnacentral:misc_RNA from 1 species
AACUUUUGACAAUGGAUCUCUUGGCUCUCGCAUCGAUGAAGAACGCAGCGAAAUGCGAAAAGUAAUGUGAAUUGCAGAAUUCAGUGAAUCAUCGAAUCUUUGAACGCACCUUGCACCCUUUGGCAUUCCGAAGGGUAUGCUCGUUUGAGUGUCAUUGUACUCUCACACUCCCGAUGCUUUUGGAUUGGGAGUGGUGGACUUGGGUGUUGCUGCUUUACUGUGGCUCACCUCAAAUGGAGUAGUGCAACUCUUGGUUGGGCAUAGUACGGCGUGAUAAGUGUCUUCGCCGGCGCCUCAUUAGAGGGUGGCCGAUCGGGAGCUCUGUGCUUCAAACCGUCUUCGGACAACAUCUGACACCUUGACCUCAAAUCGAGUAGGACUACCCGCUGAACUUAAGCAUAUCAAUAAGCGGAGGCU